rnacentral:misc_RNA from 1 species
ACGUGCCUUCGGGGCGGCCCUGUCCCGGGAGACCGGGAUAGGACACCGCACCGAAUCUGGCCCCCACCCAUGUUUAUUUUGACCAUGUUGCCUUGGCGGGCCCCGUUGGGCCUAACCGCCCGACAGCCGGGGGUUUAAUCUCCCCUGGCCAGCGCCCGCCGAUGGCCCUAAUUGAACCCUGAACCGAAGUUAUUGAACGUCUGAGUCCCAUUAGAAGAAUAAGCA